AUGCAGAUGCAGGGACCAAAACCUAUGGAGACUGACAAGAACAAGAACCAAACUGCAUGUGGUCAGCCUCAGAACUCCCACAAAGCUCCCUCUAGCUCCAAAACACCUAUGGAGUUGAUGAACUCUCUGGAACAAAAGGUGCAAAGUGUUAUCUUAGGUCUGAGUGAAGCUAGCAAUGCAAAGAAAGAUGUGCAGCAAAAACAGCCUACUGAGAACAUUGGUACUCGGUUACUUGAGCAGUUUGAUGCGGAGUCUGAUGGGGAGGCCACAAUCUUAGAGGCUCCAACCCAGCAGCUUCCACAUCCUUUAGACAAGGCCAAAAAUUGGGCCCUGUGGUGGCGCCAGGGUGGGUGCUAG
rnacentral:rRNA from 1 species